AGUGAACGCUGGCGGUAGGCCUAACACAUGCAAGUCGAACGGCAGCACAGAGGAGCUUGCUCCUUGGGUGGCGAGUGGCGGACGGGUGAGGAAUACAUCGGAAUCUACUCUGUCGUGGGGGAUAACGUAGGGAAACUUACGCUAAUACCGCAUACGACCUACGGGUGAAAGCAGGGGAUCUUCGGACCUUGCGCGAUUGAAUGAGCCGAUGUCGGAUUAGCUAGUUGGCGGGGUCAAGGCCCACCAAGGCGACGAUCCGUAGCUGGUCUGAGAGGAUGAUCAGCCACACUGGAACGUGGACACGGUCCAGACUCCUACGGGAGGCAGCAGUGGGGAAUAUUGGACAAUGGGCGCAAGCCUGAUCCAGCCAUACCGCGUGGGUGAAGAAGGCCUUCGGGUUGUAAAGCCCUUUUGUUGGGAAAGAAAUCCAUCUGGUUAAUACCCGGGUGGGAUGACGGUACCCAAAGAAUAAGCACCGGCUAACUUCGUGCCAGCAGCCGCCGUAA
rnacentral:rRNA from 1 species